ensembl:lncRNA
AAUGGGAUAGGAUCAGAUGAGAUGGCACAGGUUGGGAUGGGGACAGGAUGGAGAUGGGACAGGGCUAGAAUGGAAUGGGAUGAGACGGGACAGGAUGGGAUGGAACAGAGUGAGAUGGGAUGGCACAGGGUGGGAUGGGGACAGGACAGGAUGAGGAAAGCAUCACAUGGAGUGGGAUGGGGAGAGGAAGGGAUGGAAUUGGAUCAGAUGGGAUGGCACAGGUUGGGAUGGGGGCAGGACAGGGACAGGAUCAGAUGAGGUGGGAUGGGACAGGAUGGGAUGGGACAGGCAUAGGAUAGGAAUGGGAAGGGAUGGAAUGGGAUCAGAUGGGAUAGCACAGGAUAGGAUGGGGACAGUACAGGAUGGGACGAGGCAAUGAUACAACAGAAUGAGAUGAGAAGAGAAUGGGAUGAAAUAGCUUGAGAGGGGGUGGCACAGGAUGGGAUGAGGACAGGAUGGAAUGGGACAGGGAUAGGAUAGGAUGGGAUGGAAUGGGACAGGGGUAGAUGGGGUGGCACAGGAUAGGGUAGGGACGGGGCAGGACAGGAUGGAGUAUGAUCAAAGGGGAUGGCACAGGAUGGGAUGAGGGUAGGACAGGAUGGGGUAGGAUGGGAUAGAAUAGAGGUAGAACAAAAUGGAAUGGGAUGAAUAAUAAUAGGGGAUAGAAUGGAACAAAAAUGAAAUGGGAUAGCACAGAAUGGGAUGGGAACAGGACAGGAUGAGGACAGGGUCACACAGGGAGGAAUAGGGAUGGGACACAACAGGGUGGGGACAGGAACAGGUGGGAUGGCAUGG